rnacentral:lncRNA from 13 species
AUGUUAAUGUGUAAUUUGACACAUUUAGUAAUGACAAUGGUAACGUGUAAUUUGACACAUUUAGUAAUGACAAUGUUAAUGUGUAAUUUGACACAUUUAGUAAUGACAAUGGUAACGUGUAAUUUGACACAUUUAGUAAUGACAAUGGUAACGUGUAAUUUGACACAUUUAGUAAUGACAAUGGUAAUGUGUAAUUUGACACAUUUAGUAAUGACAAUGGUAAUGUGUAAUUUGACACAUUUAGUAAUGACAAUGGUAACAUGUAAUUUGACACAUUUAGUAAUGACAAUGGUAACAUGUAAUUUGACACAUUUAGUAAUGACAAUGGUAAUGUGUAAUUUGACACAUUUAGUAAUGACAAUGUUAAUGUGUAAUUUGACACAUUUAGUAAUGACAAUGGUAAUGUGUAAUUUGACACAUUUAGUAAUGACAAUGUUAAUGUGUAAUUUGACACAUUUAGUAAUGACAAUGGUAAUGUGUAAUUUGACACAUUUAGUAAUGACAAUGGUAAUGUGUAAUUUGACACAUUUAGUAAUGACAAUGGUAACGUGUAAUUUGACACAUUUAGUAAUGACAAUGGUAAUGUGUAAUUUGACACAUUUAGUAAUGACAAUGGUAACGUGUAAUUUGACACAUUUAGUAAUGACAAUGGUAAUGUGUAAUUUGACACAUUUAGUAAUGACAAUGGUAAUGUGUAAUUUGACACAUUUAGUAAUGACAAUGGUAAUGUGUAAUUUGACACAUUUAGUAAUGACAAUGGUAAUGUGUAAUUUGACACAUUUAGUAAUGACAAUGGUAAUGUGUAAUUUGACACAUUUAGUAAUGACAAUGGUAACAUGUAAUUUGACACAUUUAGUAAUGACAAUGGUAACGUGUAAUUUGACACAUUUAGUAAUGACAAUGUUAAUGUGUAAUUUGACACAUUUAGUAAUGACAAUGGUAACAUGUAAUUUGACACAUUUAGUAAUGACGAUGGUAACAUGUAAUUUGACACAUUUAGUAAUGACGAUGGUAACAUGUAAUUUGACACAUUUAGUAAUGACAAUGGUAAUGUGUAAUUUGACACAUUUAGUAAUGACAAUGGUAAUGUGUAAUUUGACACAUUUAGUAAUGACAAUGUUAAUGUGUAAUUUGACACAUUUAGUAAUGACAAUGGUAAUGUGUAAUUUGACACAUUUAGUAAUGACAAUGGUAAUGUGUAAUUUGACACAUUUAGUAAUGACAAUGGUAAUGUGUAAUUUGACACAUUUAGUAAUGACAAUGGUAAUGUGUAAUUUGACACAUUUAGUAAUGACAAUGGUAAUGUGUAAUUUGACACAUUUAGUAAUGACAAUGGUAACAUGUAAUUUGACACAUUUAGUAAUGACAAUGUUAAUGUGUAAUUUGACACAUUUAGUAAUGACAAUGUUAAUGUGUAAUUUGACACAUUUAGUAAUGACAAUGUUAAUGUGUAAUUUGACACAUUUAGUAAUGACAAUGUUAAUGUGUAAUUUGACACAUUUAGUAAUGACAAUGUUAAUGUGUAAUUUGACACAUUUAGUAAUGACAAUGGUAACGUGUAAUUUGACACAUUUAGUAAUGACAAUGUUAAUGUGUAAUUUGACACAUUUAGUAAUGACAAUGUUAAUGUGUAAUUUGACACAUUUAGUAAUGACAAUGUUAAUGUGUAAUUUGACACAUUUAGUAAUGACAAUGGUAAUGUGUAAUUUGACACAUUUAGUAAUGACAAUGCAUUUGAAACUUCACGCACAGUAA